AACGAACGCUGGCGGCAUGCCUAACACAUGCAAGUCGAACGAGCCCUUCGGGGUUAGUGGCGCACGGGUGCGUAACGCGUGGGAAUCUGCCCUUUGCUUCGGAAUAACAGUUAGAAAUGACUGCUAAUACCGGAUGAUGUCUUCGGACCAAAGAUUUAUCGGCAAAGGAUGAGCCCGCGUAGGAUUAGGUAGUUGGUGGGGUAAAGGCCUACCAAGCCGACGAUCCUUAGCUGGUCCGAGAGGAUGAUCAGCCACACUGGGACUGAGACACGGUCGAGAAUCCUACGGGAGGCAGCAGAGGAGAAUAUUGGACAAUGGGCGCAAGCCUGAUCCAGCAAUGCCGCGUGAGUGAUGAAGGCCCUCGAGUCGUAAAGCUCUUGUACCCGGGAUGAUAAUGACGGUACCGGGAGAAUAAGCCCCGGCUAACUCCGUGCCAGCCGCCGCCGUAACAC
rnacentral:rRNA from 1 species